rnacentral:rRNA from 1 species
GACGAACGCUGGCGGCGUGCUUAACACAUGCAAGUCGAACGAUGAAGCGGUGCUUGCACCGUGGAUUAGUGGCGAACGGGUGAGUAAUACGUGAGUAACCUGCCCCCUUCUUUGGGAUAAGCCUUGGAAACGGGGUCUAAUACUGGAUAGUCCUGUGUCACCGCAUGGUGGUGUGGGGAAAGUUUUUUCGGUGGGGGAUGGGCUCGCGGCCUAUCAGCUUGUUGGUGGGGUGAUGGCCUACCAAGGCGUCGACGGGUAGCCGGCCUGAGAGGGUGACCGGCCACACUGGGACUGAGACACGGCCCAGACUCCUACGGGAGGCAGCAGUGGGGGAUAUUGCACAAUGGGCGCAAGCCUGAUGCAGCGACGCCGCGUGAGGGAUGACGGCUUUCGGGUUGUAAACCUCUUUCGCUACCGAACAAGGCUCUGCUUUUUGGUGGGGUUGAGGGUAGGUGGAUAAGAAGCGCCGGCUAACUACGUGCCAGCAUCCGCGGUAAUACGUAGGGGGCAAACGUUGUCCGGAAAUUAUUGGGCGUACAAAGCUCCUUAUUCACUUGUUCCAUCUGCUUUAAAACGUAUUGCUUAAAUCUUACUAAUGACGUCUUAUGUUGUAUUUUUAUUGUAUGGGUGAUUAGGAUUCAUGGGCUAAAUUAUACUAUAAAAACAUCAAGCGAAAUGGAUGCUAAGGGGGCGCACUUCUCCUUUUGAGGUCGGCCGUGUCUGUCUGGUUAACGAUAUUUUAUAUAUUAACUUGAUAAUUUCUUUUUCGUCGCUUUUUGCAUCACUCUUCACUCUCCCCUUCGCCCCGCCGCUAAUAAUAAAAAAAUUAAAUAAAAAAAUU